GUGCUUGCUCUGGCAGCAUAUAUAUAAAAACUGGAACAAUACAGGGAUUAGCAAGACCUUUGCACAAGAAUGACGCACAAAUUCAAGAAGCACUCCAUAUUUUU